rnacentral:tRNA from 1 species
GCCGGGAUAGCAUAACGGUAAAUGCAAAAUACGAAGCGGGUUCGACUCCCGCUCCCGGCUCCA